rnacentral:lncRNA from 1 species
AAGCCGACAAGCAGAAAGUUUUAGACUCUGGCCCGUGGUCUUUCUCCGGUAAUCUCCUCGUCCUUAAACAAUGCAACCCAGAUGUUCCUGAAAUGUGUUAUGAGUUCACUCACUGCCCUUUUUGGGUGCACCUGUAUGGCCUACCAUUUGGAAGAGUGACAAUAGAUAUUGUCAAAGACAUAGCAGCCAAGAUUGGUGAAGUUAUUGAUGUUAAACUCGAAUCCAAAGGAAAUAGCACCUAUAAGAUUGGAAAAGCCAGGAUUAAUCUUAACCUUGAUUCCCCCCUAAAAACAGGUGUAGUCAUUAAUCUGGGAAGCAAAAAGUUGUGGAUAGAAUUCAAGUAUGAGCGGCUCCCACACUAUUGCUACUCUUGUGGAAGAAUCGGACAUUAUGCCUCGGCAUGCAAAGAAAUACCGUAUGAAACCACAAGGUUGGAGGAGGACGUACCAGGUAACUUUGGGAAUUGGCUAAGGGCGGAAGUUAGGGAACUUAGCCCUUACGGUAAAGUUUUUUAUGGGAAACAAGCUGCACUCAUUGAUGAUCCAGAUAUUGUACCAGAAACACCUCUUGCCGCAACAACCAAUGCUAAUCAGCAAGUACAAAACGCAGAAGACCAGCCUAUC